UAUGAAAGAAGCAUUACGUCUUGUUAGCUUUAAGCUGCAUUAGCGAUAGCUUAAAACAUAUAAGGUUAUUUUGUCUGGCUAAUAUUUCUUCUUGCUUCAUAAAAUUGGAAUUACACAACUCUUAAAAGUCAUUGUAGUCUCUCACACUUAAUAAUUUACUUGGGAUUUUUUGCCGUUUGUGAAGUAGUGCAAAACCUUUCUAAAAAUUUUUUUACAGCUGCAACAGCCAAUACUGGUGCUGACAAUCAUAGCACAAAACGCUUUGCGCGUAGAAAUAAAUAGAGAAGUUUUUAACCUUUAGAAACUUCCUUGAUUCUAUUGAAGUUGACUUUCUCUUCAUUCUUGUGCUACUUACUUAUGCGGUGAAAGCGUUAGAUUAUGCUGUUUUCUUUUAUAACUUGGUAAACCAUUGAUAUUAAGUAUGAGAUUAUUCAGGAACAAGCGCAUAUUGUAAACAAAAAAAGACUAUAAAAAAGGUAGCAUACCAAUGAAGCUUUGCUCAUUUUAUCAAGAAAAAUUAGUAUGUGUACUGUAAAGGAACUCUCCUAGUGAGUUUUGUUACAAGCUCAUAAGGGCUAGUAUCACUACAAUAUUUAGCAAUGUCUGCCACUGUCAAUUCUGGAGUUCCCCAAAAUAUUACUUCAUCCCCUGGCUUGACAUCAGGAAUGUCUGAAAGAUCAACAGUAAGCAUGUCCAUGGAAACCCUACCAACAAUUGGAGCCUUCACGCCAUUCACUAAAACUGGACAUCCAUCUUUAACUUGACGGGGAAAUCCGUCUCCGUAACCCAUUGCUACAACACCUAGUUUCAUAUCUCUAGUAGCAACAUAUCUCCCUCCAUAACCAAUGGGCUGGCCCUUGUCAACAUGUUUCACACUUAUUAUGGUAGAUACCAGUUUCAUGGCAGGCUUUAUAUUAACAGACUCUGGAGUUUUUGAGUCUUUAUUUUUAGAAAGAAAUGGAGAAAUACCAUAUAACAUGAUACCAGCACGCAACCAGUCUGUGCACACAGUGUUUAGCCAGCCCAAAAUAAUCGCAGAUCCGCCAGCACUAAGUGGACCUGGUAAAUGCGCAACAGACUUUUCAAAUAUAUCCCAUUGCUUCAAAGUGUGUUCCGGAUUUUCUAGCAUAUCUGCAAAUGCAAAAUGAGUGAUUUUUCCGAUAUUACUAACGUUUUUGUUAUUGCUUAGUAAAUUAUAGAACUUCAUAAACUGACUAGGUGUAAAACCUAGACGGUUCAUUCCAGAGUCAAGUUUCAACCAAAUCUCUACUGGUCUGUUGAAAGGGUAUUUAAUAAAACUAUUCACCUGG